rnacentral:ncRNA from 1 species
UAAAAGGCUGUGAAAAGAAGAAGUAGUAAUCGUUACACCCAUACAGAAAGCUGCCGGCAGAUGAGAGGCGCAUGAAGGAAGGGAUUAUGAAUACAUCUUGGAGCCGCGUACCGAAAGCGUUCCCUUACAGAAAGACGCAGGGAAGGAUCAGUAGGCUGCGACGCAAGGCAUACGUUACAUGCAUAAGCUGCGGCACGCGUAAGUUAGGGCACAUAUAAUUUGUUGCGCGCAGGCUUAAUAAGACUGGUGAUGCGAGUUGCCGGUGAACAAAGGUGGUACCACGGAACUAUCCGUCCUUAUC